CUACGGGGUGCUGCAGUGGGGAAUAUUGGGCAAUGGGCGCAAGCCUGACCCAGCAACGCCGCGUGAGGGAAGAAGGUUUUCGGAUUGUAAACCUCUGUCCUUGGGGACGAAGAAGUGACGGUACCCAAGGAGGAAGCUCCGGCUAACUACGUGCCAGCAGCCGCGGUAAUACGUAGGGAGCAAGCGUUGUCCGGAAUUACUGGGCGUAAAGGGUGCGUAGGCGGCAUAUUAAGUCAGGUGUGAAAUACUCGGGCUCAACCCGGGGGCUGCAUUUGAAACUGAUAUGCUUGAGUGUGAGAGAGGAAAGUGGAAUUCCUAGUGUAGCGGUGGAAUGCGUAGAUAUUAGGAGGAGCACCAGUGGCGAAGGCGACUUUCUGGCUCAUAACUGACGCUGAGGCACGAAAGCGUGGGGAGCAAACAGGAUUAGAUACCCGAGUAGUC
rnacentral:rRNA from 1 species